rnacentral:misc_RNA from 1 species
AAUUCUCAACUCUAUUUGCUUUUGUGAAUAGAGCUUGGACUUGGAGGUUUAUUGCCGGUACCUGUGAUCGGCUCCUCUUGAAUGCAUUAGCCCGAACCUUUUGUGGAUCAGCUUAUCGGUGUGAUAAAAUGUCUAAGCCGUUACUGUGAAGCAUAUUAUUCGGCUUCCAAUCGUCCUUCACGGGACAAUAACUUUGAC